UACGUAGGGGGCGAGCGUUGUCCGGAUUUAUUGGGCGUAAAGAGCGUGUAGGCGGCCAGGUAGGUCUGCUGUGAAAACUCGAGGCUCAACCUCGAGACGUCGGCGGAAACCAUCUGGCUAGAGUCCGGAAGAGGAGAGUGGAAUUCCUGGUGUAGCGGUGAAAUGCGCAGAUAUCAGGAAGAACACCCGUGGCGAAGGCGGCUCUCUGGGACGGGACUGACGCUGAGACGCGAAAGCGUGGGGAGCGAACAGG
rnacentral:rRNA from 1 species